rnacentral:rRNA from 1 species
UACGAAGGGGGCUAGCGUUGCUCGGAAUCACUGGGCGUAAAGGGUGCGUAGGCGGGUCUUUAAGUCAGGGGUGAAAUCCUGGAGCUCAACUCCAGAACUGCCUUUGAUACUGGGAAGCUCGAGUCCGGAAGAGGUGAGUGGAACUCCGAGUGUAGAGGUGAAAUUCGUAGAUAUUCGCAAGAACACCAGUGGCGAAGGCGGCUCACUGGCCCGGUACUGACGCUGAGGUGCGAAAGCGUGGGGAGCAAACAGG